rnacentral:rRNA from 1 species
GACGAACGCUGGCGGCGUGCUUAACACAUGCAAGUCGAACGGAAAGGCCCUGCUUUUGUGGGGUGCUCGAGUGGCGAACGGGUGAGAAACACGUGAGUAACCUGCCCUUGACUUUGGGAUAACUUCAGGAAACUGGGGCUAAUACCGGAUAUGAGCUCCUGCUCCAUGGGGGGGGUUGGAAAGUUUCGGCGGUUGGGGAUGGACUCGCGGCUUAUCAGCUUGUCGGUGGGGUAGUGGCUUACGAAGGCUUUGACGGGUAGCCGGCCUGCGAGGGUGACCGGCCACAUUGGGACUGAGAUACGGCACAGCCUCCUACGGGAGGCAGCAGUGGGGAAUAUUGCACUAUGGGCGGAAGCCUGAUGCAGCGACGCCGCGUGCGGGAUGACGGCCUUCGGGUUGUAACCCGCUUUCGCCUGUGACGAAGCGUGAGUGACGGUAAUGGGUAAAGAAGCACCGGCUAACUACGUG